rnacentral:rRNA from 1 species
UACGAAGGGGGCUAGCGUUGCUCGGAAUCACUGGGCGUAAAGGGUGCGUAGGCGGGUUUUUAAGUCAGGGGUGAAAUCCUGGAGCUCAACUCCAGAACUGCCUUUGAUACUGAAGAUCUUGAGUCCGGGAGAGGUGAGUGGAACUGCGAGUGUAGAGGUGAAAUUCGUAGAUAUUCGCAAGAACACCAGUGGCGAAGGCGGCUCACUGGCCCGGUACUGACGCUGAUGCACGAAAGCGUGGGGAGCAAACAGG